GAUGAACGCUGGCGGCACGCCUAACACAUGCAAGUCGAACGGAAAUUAGCUUCGGUUAAUUUUAGUGGCGGACGGGUGAGUAACACGUGAGAAUUUGCCUUUAGGAGGGGGAUAACGAAUGGAAACAUUCGCUAAAACCCCAUAUGCCCCAGGGUGAAAAAGAGGAAAAUAGUUAUACUGAAUUACCUCUGCCUGAAGAGAAGCUCGCGGCUGAUUAGCUAGUUGGUAGGGUAAAGGCCUACCAAGGCGACGAUCAGUAGCUGGUCUGAGAGGACGAUCAGCCACACUGGAACUGAGACACGGUCCAGACUCCUACGGGAGGCAGCAGUGAGGAAUUUUCUGCAAUGGGCGAAAGCCUGACAGAGCAAUACCGCGUGAGGGACGAAGACUUACUGAGUUGUAAACCUCGGUGCCUUAAGGAAGAAGAUCUGACGGUACUUAAGGUGGAAAGCAUCGGCUAACUCCGUGCCAGCCGCCGCCGUAA
rnacentral:rRNA from 1 species